UAAAAGCAGGUUAAUGAGGGUUUCAGUUACCUUUCAUUUUCUCAGCUUGUUCAUUCAGGCGGAUUUCAAGAUCUUGCUUCUGUUUCUCCAAUUCUGAAAUUUGCUGUUUAAAGUCUGGGAUCAUCUUUAGAGAAGAAUUAGAAAUAUUAGAAUAUAAAAUACUUUUAUCUAUGAACUUUAAAAUCUUAGAAGCAAACUGAACUAUCUUGGUGUUCAGCCUGCAGAACAGAUAGCUGUGUAAAAGAGCUAGCCACGACAUUAGACUGGAUUAACAUUUUUUUUUAACCUCAAAACCUAUAUAGUCUCAGGAAACACCAGUAUGCUCAGAGGAAGCAGUUCUCACACAGCUACGACAGGGAGAGAAGGAUGUGUACAUGUAUAGAAAUCCUAUGCUGAGUUGAGGGAGGAAUUAGGUGAAGAAAUGGCAGCCAGCGUCUUUGGUCCAAGCCCAGAGCCAUCGUCUCCUCAUCUAGGAACAGGAAAAGCCAUCUCAAAGGGUCCCACUGCUACUUUUGAAUUCAAGGACAUGCACUGCUCUGUUAGUGGAGGUCUGGAAUCACCCGGUGGUUGAUUUCUUGACUGAGAUGCACCACUUUGAAGUUCAAAGCUUCAAUCUCCUUUUCAUAGCAAUCCUUCUGAGACUGGAAAUGGCUCUCCAAAACACUAUUAAAGGAGGGGUCAAGAAAUAAACCACAUGGCCUUUGUUCUGUUUUAUGGACUGCUGGGAGGCAGUUAUGAAGACCCACAACAAGAGCCGUGCACGAAGUACAUCAAGUUUACUUAUGCACUCACGGUUACAGGCUACAGAAUCAGGAAUGCCUAAUUAUAAAAUCUUCUAGCUAGUUAGGAAGCAUUAUGUGGGGGUUAAUAUGUAGUUAACAAUGAAGAAAAUUUUAGAAGUUAUUAUAUUUUUACACUCUUAAUAGUUUAAAAAAUACUGGCCAGACGCAGUGGCUCACACCUGUAAUCCCAGGAUUUUGGGAGGCCGAGGUGGGCGGAUCACUUGAGGUCAGGAGUUUGAGACCAGCCUAGACAACAUGGUGAAAUCCCGUCUCUACUAAAAAUACAAAAAUUAGCCAGGUGUGGUAGCGCAUGCCUGUAGUUCCAGCUACUUGGGAGGCUGAGGCACGCAAAUCGCUUGAAACCUGGAGGUGGAGGUUGCGGUGAGCCAAGAUCUUGCCACUGCACUCCAGCCUGGGUAACAGAGCGAGACUCCAUCUCAGAAACAAAACAAAACAAAACAUGUUCUGUAUGAUACUACAGUUGUGGAUACGAGUCAUUAUACAUUUGUCAAAACCUACAGAAUGUACACCAAGAGUGAACUCUAAUGUAAACUAUAGACUUGAGGUGACAGUGGCGUGUCAGUGUUGGUUCACCAGUCAUAGUAAACACAUCACUGUGGUUUGGGAAGUUGACAGUGGGGGAGGUUGUGUGUGUGUGGUGGCAGGGAUAUAUGGGAACUCUCUGUAUUUCUGCUCAACUUUGAUGUGAACCUAAAACUGCUGUGAAAAAUAAAGUUUAUUAAUUUAAAUAAAUGCAGCACAUGCCUUAAAUUUAAAUGUAUCUACAUAUUUCUGGCAACAUUAACUAACUUAUUUGAUAAUCAGUUUUCACUGUAUGGGUUAUGGGGUUUUUUACUAGGCAUUUUAUCCCACAAAGAGAUUGCUCUUCAUGAAUAAGCUACUUACUUACUUCUCAGAGAAAUAUUUCUAGUGGUUAUUCAGUCAUUCUACUAUAAGGAAUUUGUGUAUCAAUCUAUGUAAGGUAAACUUUGGACUUUCCAAUAGUCUAUUUAUUAUCUCUGAAAAAUAAAGAAGAUCCCUGAGGAGAAUUUCUAACCGUGUUGCUUUCUUUAGUCCUUCAUAAGCAAACCAAAGUUCUCCAUCCUCAUUUAAAUGUUCCAGAUCUUCCACAGAGAGCCUGCAAAAUAAGGAAGAUAAGAAAAUCUAUCAUCUCUGUCACGUUUUACAUGUUUACAUGUCUUAAAAUGUUUGAUAAUGCAAAAAUGAUUACCUGCUUCUUACAUCUUCAAUGUCAUAGCUUUCGAGAAGUUGUUUGGUGAUCUCUGACAUCUUUUCUGAAAGGGAAAGGCAGAGUUGUAUAUAUUACAUUUGUGGAUGAUUUAUCUUUUCCCAUUCCCUUUCCAGGGCCCAGUUUUCUAGCUUCACAGUCUCCAGCUAAAUAACUCACCAGCUAUCCAAUCAACCAACUAACCAAUCUUCCAGGUAUUCAACCAACUAGCUAUUCAACCUAUCAACUAAGCAAUCUACCAUAUGUCCAACCAAAUUCAUACCAAAGGACACGUUUCCUUAGCAGCGACACAGCUAUGAUAAAUUCAGUCUGCACCCAUGGACUAAGAGACUCAUAUUUUUAUUACCUCUCAUUUCCCGUUUUUGUGACUGCACAUGUUUCUCCACAUCUAUCUUCUGUGCCUGAAGUAGUUCUAUCUCUUUUUCGAACUCAGAGAUUGUCUGAAUCACAGCAAUGACGGAAUCAGUUACCCUGAGUAUUUAAGGGCUCCAGCCCCUGUUUCUACAGAGAGUAAGCAGGAGAAUCAAACUGAUAUGUGCUGAGCACUUUACCUAGAAGACCUAAUCCUCCUAACAGGCCUAUGAGCUCCUGUCUAUAGAUAACAGCGAGCACCAGCCACUGUAAGACGCUGCCAUUUGUUUCACAUGCAAGAGCUCAACGUGACUUCAAAGGUGACACUAUUCCCGACCUGGCCAGCAAUGACUGAAACAAGGAGAAAGGACACAUUCAAGGGCUCCUCAAUGUCAAGGACAUACUUCUUCCUUUUGUCGAGCUUCUCAAUAGCCAGGGGACUUUAUAUGUCGAAUAUGCUAUGAUUACACAGUUGAUGGCGUAAAGGGGAUUCACACUUUGCAACUGUUAUGACUCAGGAAGGAUGUGUGAGC
rnacentral:lncRNA from 10 species